GGAUGUGAAGGCUAUCUGGCAGCGACAUCUGUCACCCCAUUGAUCGCCAGGGUUGAUUCGGCUGAUCUGGCUGGCUAGGCGGGUGUCCCCUUCCUCCCUCACCGCUCCAUGUGCGUCCCUCCCGAAGCUGCGCGCUCGGUCGAAGAGGACGACCAUCCCCGAUAGAGGAGGACCGUUCUUCGGUCAAGGGUGUACGAGUAGCUGCGCUCCCCUGCUAGAACCUCCAAACAAGCUCUCAAGAGACUUAUAAAGAAAAGGGUUUAUUUAAUUUAUAGUUUUGGAGGCUGCAUGACUCUGGCUCUUGUGCGGAUUCCC
rnacentral:snRNA from 1 species